rnacentral:rRNA from 1 species
GACGAACGCUGGCGGCGUGCCUAAUACAUGCAAGUCGAACGCAGUGGGGACGGGUGAGUAACACGUUGGUAACCUCCCAUCAGAGGGGAUAACACUUGGAAACAGGUGCUAAACCGAUACUGAUGGAUGGACCCGCGGUGCAUUGGCUAGUUGGUGGGGUAACGGCUCACCAAGGCCACGAUGCAUAGCCGACCGGAGAGGGUGAUCGGCCACACUGGGACGGAGACACGGCCCAGACUCCUACGGGAGGCAGCAGUAGGGAAUCGUCGGCAAUGGAGGGAAGUCUGACCGAGCAACGCCGCGUGAGUGAAGAAGGUUUUCGGAUCGUAAAACUCUGUUGUUGGAGAAGCGGUAUCUAAACAAAAAGCAACGGCUAACUACGUGCCAGCAGCCGCGGUAAUUC